UACAGUGGUGUGAUCAUAGCUCACUGCACCCCCGACCUCCUGGGUUCUUGGAGCUGCUUGUCAGCUGUGAUCCCGAGUUGUAGGGAUAUACUUGUCUCCCUGUCUCAUGGUACGGGCCGGGAUGGGGUCCAUUUUGCUCUGAGCGGCAGCCAGGUGCGGUUCCAGGCAGUGCCUUGCUCUGGGGAGGGGAUGCUGAUUGGUCCAGCGGGGAGCCUGUACCGACUGCUGCUCCAAUCAGCCGUGGACAGAGGCGGGGCUUCCCCACAGUGGCAGAGCCCUGGGAGGGGUGUCCUCCGGUCCCAGAGGUAGCCGGGCAUUUUCCACACAUCCACCCCACCAACAUGAGCUCUCCGGCUGCUUCUUCCCAGGGGAGGCCCUGGGGGCCAUCGGGGACCCGGAAGUUCUGGAGAUCCUGAAGCAGUAUUCCUCGGACCCCGUCAUCGAGGUAACCAGGCCCCUGCUUGUCUCCCUGCCAG
rnacentral:lncRNA from 1 species